rnacentral:rRNA from 1 species
GACGUAGGGCGCAAGCGUUGUCCGGAUUUAUUGGGCGUAAAGAGCUCGUAGGCGGUGUGUCGCGUCGGCCGUGAAAACCUGCAGCUUAACUGUGGGCUUGCGGUCGAUACGGGCAUCACUGGAGUUCGGCAGGGGAGACUGGAAUUCCUGGUGUAGCGGUGAAAUGCGCAGAUAUCAGGAGGAACACCGGUGGCGAAGGCGGGUCUCUGGGCCGAUACUGACGCUGAGGAGCGAAAGCGUGGGGAGCGAACAGG